UACGUAGGGUGCAAGCGUUGUCCGGAAUUAUUGGGCGUAAAGAGCUCGUAGGCGGUUUGUCGCGUCUGCUGUGAAAUCCCGAGGCUCAACCUCGGGCUUGCAGUGGUUACGGGCAGACUAGAGUGCGGUAGGGGAGAUUGGAAUUCCUGGUGUAGCGGUGGAAUGCGCAGAUAUCAGGAGGAACACCGAUGGCGAAGGCUGAUCUCUGGGCCGUAACUGACGCUGAGGAGCGAAAGCAUGGGGAGCGAACA
rnacentral:rRNA from 1 species